rnacentral:lncRNA from 1 species
AGAGCGUUCUGCAGCACCAGAACCCAUGCAGCCCAUUUCAGUGAUACCAGGCUCUGGGGGAGAAAAAGAGAGCCAUAAAUACCAGCGGAGUUCUAGUUCUGGAUCAGAUGACUAUGCCUAUACACAAGCCUUGCUGUUACAACAGCAAGCAAGGAUGGAGAGGUUAGCAAAGCAGUUGAAACUUGAGAAAGAUGAGCUAGAGCGGUUGAAGGCUGAAGUUAAUGGUAUGGAACAUGACCUGAUGCAGAGACGGCUCAGAAGAGUCAGCUGCACCACAGCGAUCCCCAUGCCUGAGGAAAUGACAAGAUUGAGAAGCAUGAACAGACAACUCCAGAUAAAUGUUGACUGUACACUGAAAGAAGUUGACCUCCUUCAAUCUAGAGGAAACUUUGAUCCAAAAGCUAUGAAUAAUUUUUAUGACAACAUAGAACCUGGCCCAAUUGUACCACCAAAACCAUCUAAAAAAGACCAUCUACCUGGCUCCAAACCUAGUCCUCGGACACAGUCCUGAGAUGAAGACUAUGAAGGGGCUCCAUGGAAUUGUGACAGCUGCACCUUUCUCAACCACCCAGAAUCGCUGUGAGCAGUGUGAGAUGCCACGGUACACUUGAAUUCAGAAGAGCUGGCCCCGGGUUGAAAGGGAAACUUGAAGCACCCGCCAGAAGAAAAGGAAACCUCGGGAAUCUCUUCAUCUGCCCAGCCUUGUCAUUUCUGACUCCGUAGGGGAGGAGGAGGAGGAAUGGCACCUCAGCCACUGUGCUCACAAAGGAAAGAUGGGGAGGUCUUUCUGUUUCCUUAACUCAUUGCAGAGUAAGAGGUGGAAAGGGAUACUUGAAACCAGGAAAGGACUCGCUCCUGAAAGAAUGUACGCAGAGAAGUCAAGAGUUCUUCUGUGGAAUGCCAGUCGUUAAAGUUACUGCUGGGUGGCCCUUAUUUUUUAAAGUUGAAUUUUGAAUCAUGGUAUGAAAUGUUACAGUUUAUGCAGGCAAACUGUGAAUUCCAGAGCGGACUUUUCUGAUCACAUCUCUCUGGGAAACCAAGGCUCCCUGUGCUUCUUCCUGCUGCUUCCUGUAAAGAGAAGGAUGGGAAAAAGCACCCCAAAUACAUUUUUUGGCAAAAUAAUAACGGUAUUUGUAAUUGCUGCUUUUUUCAGGGGUAGUUUCAAACACACGUACACACAGAUAUUUUAAAAUGUGAUUUGUAGCAGUCAGGAAUGAGGCAGAUCAUGCCCUUUGUUGGAAAGUACAAUCAGAGGCAGUAAGAUCCCUUUGGUUUGUACAGUGAUUCAUCAACCCUAUAUCAACACUGGUAACUAAGACCUAAUUAUGCCACAUAAGAAAUACAUCUUAAGUUACUAUAUGUUUUAUUAGGAGUGGUUUUAUAACCCUUACAAACUAUAAUUUUAUAAAUGAUAUUCUCAUAAAACUGCACUUUGCCAAUAGUAUAGUGAAUGUAUACCAAAUAUGAGUCCAUUCCAGAAGUCAUUUGGAAAUCUUGAGCUCCGCUGUGGUUAAGAAAUGUUUGUAGUCCAUCAGGCCAUCAUUCCCCCCUUCUAAUUAUGUGAUGAAUUCAUGAUGUUUACAGCAUAGAUAAUACUUUGUGCCAUAAUCCUAAUUUAGCUGAAAAAAAUAUUAACUGUUCAAUAAAGAUUUAUUUGCACAUGUUUAUGGAAACAUGAGGGAAAAUAUAGUUGGCCAAUAUAAAAAAAAAAAGAAUAUAAUAGAUUUUAAGAACAAUUCAUAGGCUUAUGUUAAAGAAACAUUUUUCAUAUU